rnacentral:rRNA from 1 species
UACGGGGGGGUGCAAGCGUUGUCCGGAAUCACUGGGCGUAAAGCGCGUGUAGGCGGCCAGGUAAGUCCGUUCUGAAAGCCCGGGGCUCAACCCCGGGAGGCGGAUGGAUACUGCUUGGCUCGAGUCCGGAAGAGGCGAGUGGAAUUCCCGGUGUAGCGGUGAAAUGCGCAGAUAUCAGGAGGAACACCGGUGGCGAAGGCGGGGUCUCUGGGCAGUUACUGACGCUGAGGAGCGAAAGCAUGGGGGAGCGAACAGG